GCGAACGUUGGCGGCGUGGCUUAGACAUGCAAGUCGAGCGGAAAGGCCCCGCAAGGGGCACUCGAGCGGCGAACGGGAGAGUAACACCUGGGUAACCUGCCCCGGAGACUGGGAUAGCCACUGGAAACGGUGGGUAAUACCGGAUGGUCCCCGCGCGUCGAUGACGUGCGGGGUAAAGGGACUUCUGCUUCGGGAGGGGCCCAGGCCCCAUUAGCUAGUUGGUGAGGUAACGGCUCACCAAGGCGACGAUGGGUAGCGGGCCUGAGAGGGUGACCCGCCUCACUGGGACUGAGACACUGCCCAGACUCCUACGGGAGGCUGCAGUCGCGAAUCAUCGGCAAUGCGCGCAAGCGUGACCGUGCGACGCCGCGUGGGCGAUGAAGGCCUUCGGGUUGUAAAGCCCUGUCAGGGGUGAAGAAUGGCAUGGGUCCGCCCAUGUUUGACGUUAGCCCCAAAGGAAGUCACGGCUAACUCCGU
rnacentral:rRNA from 1 species